AGGAGGUCGCUCCACCUUUUCUCUGGAGUGGCAAUUGAUGCUGGCGGGCGCUGGCUGCUGGCGGUUGAGCUCCGGCUGUGGCUCAGUGGAUGGGGCGCGGUUCUUUACCGACACCUAUUGCCAAAAAGGAGGGACAAAAAAAACUAAAAUCAACCAGCUUGUGGAUGGACAAAUACAGCGGGUUCCUGGUUCUAAUGGCGACUGUUCCGGAUAAAAUCCAAUGGAGUCCCUGGGUAUUGUGGUCCUGGUGGCAGCCUCUGCGCCCAAUAGGGUCCCUUUUAGGUUUUCGUUUGUCCGUCCGUCCGUCUAGUCUUUGGGGUUUUCUGAUGUGCUGCUUUCUCAGCACCGUAAGGUCAACAUUGGCUGAUGGGCCAAUGUCCUCUACUAUCCACUACCUAUCCUAACUAUGAGCUCAUGUUUAGGUACCUGUAUCGAACCCAACCAAAGGAAAAAACUUUUUUAACAAAAUAAAUCUGUCGAGAGUCAACGGUCUGUAUGCCUGUCGGUUUAUGGUCGGAGAAACUUUUUGGACUACCUUAUGGACACUGGGGUAUGCGACAGCGUCUAGGUCCCUCGGUGGAGUAGCGACAGGGGUUGUGGAUAUGCCAUUUGCAGCAGCUGAAGUCUUUUAUGUGUGUGGCAGUGGAGGUGGAGGAGUCUUGGGUUUCGCUUUUAUUUUUGGACUUAAGUUUUAAGCUUUAAAUUUUAUAUUAUAUGAUUUGAUUUUUUUUAUAUUUCUUUUCGGUGUUUUUCUUUUUUUUAAUAAAUGUUUCUUUUUCUUUUAGGUUUUAACAACUUUACUUUCUUUUUUCAACUUUUCGAUUUCUUUUAUUUCUUUCAUUUUUUAGGUU